GUCAUCUCAGCAGUAGAAUUAAGACAUUCUUCUGACUGGGGAAUUUUUGUGAUUUUGAAUAUAAAGUAUCAUUGAAGUUGCCGUUGUACCAAUCCAACUGUAGGAACAACUGUGUGUCCCCGUAUUGCAGGCCCACGUCCAGUUCUCUCCAGGAUAGCGAGCACCUCUGAGGAGGAUGUUCUCUGUCCUAUUCCACCUCUCCCCCCCGGACCUGAUUCUCGGUACGAGAGAAUUGGAGGCCAAACAGGGACUUCUUUUUUACAGACCCUGAUCCACCUCCUGAAGGGGAACAUCGGCACAGGGUUGCUAGGUCUACCUCUGGCUGUCAGGAACGCAGGCCUUGUGGUAAGGGUUAGGAAACAAUGUUUAUUUGUCUCCUUGUCCCUGUUUUCCUUCAGGCGGAUAGUGAACGUGUUUCUGAUCAUCACCCAGCUGGGUUUCUGCUGUGUCUACUUCGUCUUCCUCAGUGACAACGUCAAACAGGUGGUGGAGGCCUCUAACGGGACAACCAUGAACUGCCACAGAAACCAGACGGCUGUGACCGUCCCCAGCUUUGACUCCCGUCUCUACAUGUUGUGUUUCCUGCCAGCUGUUAUACUCUUGGUGUUCACCCCAAACCUGAAGUAUCUGGCCCCACUCUCUCUGGCAGCCAACCUGGCCAUGUGUACUAGUCUGGUCCUCAUCUACUUCUUCUGCUUCACGAACAUCCCAAAUCAUAUCAACCUUCCCAAGGUGGGUCGUGCCAAAGACUACCCUCUCUUCUUUGGAACGGCCAUCUUUGCUUUCGAGGGGAUAGGAGUGGUCCUGCCCCUGGAGAACAAGAUGCAGAAGCCUCAGAGUUUCAAUAUGGUUCUAUGUCUGGGUAUGGGCAUCGUCACCUUCCUCUAUAUCAGCUUGGGGACCAUAGGCUACAUCACCUUUGGAGAGGCCAUAGGGGGAAGUAUCACCCUUAACUUACCCAACUGCUGGAUGUAUCAGAUUGUAAAGCUUCUCUACUGUUUCGGUAUCUACAUCACCUUUGCCCUUCAGUUCUACGUGCCAGCUGCGAUCCUGAUUCCUCCUGUGUUGUCCCGCUUCUCAGAGAGAUGGGAACUGACGGUUGAUCUCCUGAUCCGCACUGCGCUCGUAGUCUUCACCUGUGUCCUGGCCAUAUUGAUCCCCCAGCUGGACCUGGUCAUCUCUUUAGUGGGGUCCGUCAGUAGCAGUUUCCUGGCUCUCAUCUUCCCUCCACUCCUCCAGAUCCUCACCUACCACAACGAAGGUCUGUCUCCCUGGGUCAUCGUCAAGAACACCCUGAUCUCUGUCAUCGGCUUCCUCGGCUUCAUCACCGGCACCUAUAUAUCCAUCACAGAGAUCAUCAAACGCAACGGCAGACAUGACAAUCUGGAUGUGACCUUCUUCCAGGUCCAGUGA
rnacentral:lncRNA from 1 species